UCCUGGGACUGCAAGGAGUAUGGCACCCCCCCUCAGUGCCCCAUCAAACUAUUGUUGCGCCCCUUCAAUCUAUGGAUCCUUGUCUCCUAGCACGGUAAGAAAGAAACAGUCAGUAGUCGGCUGCACAUUUCUCUCGCUGACUCUCGGGGCAAGGUCAUAGGUCACGUGCUCCGGUGAUAUCUGUUUCUGCAUGAUAAUGUCAUAGAUCACUUUACAUACAAGACAGACGUUUAGAUAUCAUGUAAAUGUAGAGGUUCAGUUAGUCUCUCUCUCUCUCUCUCUCUCUCUCUCUCUCUCUCUCUCUCUCUCUCUCUCUCUCUCUCUCUCUCUCUCUCUCUUGUGCUGAUAAAAAUUGCGGUCACAAAUAAAAAGUGUUAUAAAUAAAAGAUUUUAGAGCAAGUUCACAGACAUACUCGUCAAAAUGUCUUCAAUUUUCGUUUUAUAGAGUUUUUUGUGGAGACUUCUGGGUUCUGCAAUCACUACUGAACAUCGUGAUAUCAGUUACAAUCGUUAAUCUUGUAUGCGAAGUGAUCUAAGGCAUGGUACAAAAGCAUAUCUCUGGGGCACACAACAAGGAACCUGGCUGGGGGACUGUGAGAGAGAGGUACAGCAAUAUCCUCGUCCUUUCUUGCCGGGGUUGGAGACAAGGAUUUAAGUGAAUAGAUUAUAGAGGGCACCACACCCUCAGGCAGCCCCUCCAUGCCCUCACUUCAUCAUCGCCACGACAACUAGCACCACGUGGGAGAAAAGUAAGGUCACUCGUGCAGCACCAGCAGGAGGGGCGUGGCCGGCUCUACUCUGGGUUAAUUAGGUAGUCACUGUUGAGUCUCUCGGUGGGUCUCGCUCAUUGUGCUGCUCUCAUCGCCUCCUUCAUCAGCCGUAAUGCUACUGAAGGUUGUGGUGUUUCCUAUCUGGGUCACGAACAGGGACGAGAGCGUGUUCGUGCUGAAGCUGCCACGUUAGCAAAGCCCUCACGUCUCUUGCGCCUGUUGGGGAACUACUGGUGAGAUUCCUGGGCGUGGCGAUAAUUUGAACUGUAUGAGCCUCUCUGCACCGCCGCCUCUCGCACGUGUCCCCCUAGUGCCUGGUUAUUUAUCAUUUAUUUAUUUUUGUAUAUUAGGAAGAGCGUUCAAGGGUAAAACAAAAAUAAAAACUGGAAAAAAAAAAAUCGUUCAUAAUGCCAUUCUUAAAGGGAGAUAAGGGUGAAGGAACAAAUUAAGUACUUUGUAAGGUAUUGAUGUUCUUCUUCUGAAACAGUUCAAGUCGUAGGCAAGGGAGAUGCAAGUGAGAAAUCUUAAAAUCAACUGAAAACUAUUUGACAAGCUUCAGUUCUUACCUUCAGCAGAUUGUACCUGUUUCAUGGCAGUAAUUAGUGGGUACUUAGAUUAAUUCUGUGUCAAUUGUUUAUGUAAUAUCGUAACCAAUGUCUUUAAGGACUGUAGUUAAUUCCAUGAUAGUACAUUGCAGUUAAAUUCUGUUUGCUACAUCCAGAUGCCUAUUUCUCAGGACCAAUCACAAUAAUUCCCACGUGACACUAUCACUACACUCGUGGAGGUGAUAGAGCAUGAAAAUUUUCCCCACGGAUGACAAUGAUUUUGGACACUCUUUACUCACGUGUGUCGGUGGCCACAGUAACACGUAGGUCCCUCUAAUGACACUAUGAUUUCUGCCAGGAACAACGUAAAGCAUAGGAACGAGGCACUGAAAUCUACUUUUCAUGUGUUGAUUACUGUAUGCCUUAUGUCACUUACUGGCUAGUUUUCCCCUCAGUAACAAGACUACAGGUAAGGCUCUGAUUCGAUUUCCUUUCAAGAACUGGUGUUUUUGUAUCUGAGGUAAGCUAAUCAUGAAAAAAAAAUUACUUGAAACGCUAAACUGUCUCUUCCUUUUCUUUUCCUUUCCUCUGCCCAUCCCAUUAAAAAAGUCGAGUAUGAAAGAACUCCAAUCACGUACAAACUAAUUUAAAUCCACACAAGUCUAAUUCCUCCCCUCAAAACACCAAAAACUAGCACUGGGAUCCUGUAGAGUGCUGGCUGGCGACUCCUAGGGCCAUUUUACUGGGUGAACUGGGUGGUGGGUCACUACUGCAGCGUCUCCUCCAAAUGGUUCCCAGGGUGGCGGUGGCAGGCGGUGACGACAGGUUUAGUGGGACGGCGGCGUGCUGCGGGAGGGAUGGUAAUCAGCUUAGUGUGGCCGCCUGGCUACGUGGUGGUGACUAGG